UUGAAGCUGGAGUUAUCAGCUCACCCGCAGCACCACCCACCUCAACAAACACCAUCACAAGCAGAACAUGUCGCCCUCUGAGGCUUCUCCUUCUGGAAAGACAGCCUGGAAUAGAAAACAGCUCUCACUGUACACAAAAGGGACAAAAGAAAGUGAUCUGGGAAAGAGGAGGAAAAGGAGAAACGAAGGAGCCAUGAGGUGUAUAUUCAAGGAAGACCUGUCUUUCUUUCCCACCCAAAGCCUGAUCUUGCUGAUUAUGUUUCUGAAAGAAGUCAGGAGGGAUAACCCAGCACUAGGCUGAGAGUGGUCCCCAGCCAGCUGACAGCUCAUGACUGGAAUGUCCCUUGGAAGGUGACCCAGCCAGCACAAGUUUAGAGCCUCAGAAAGCCAACACAAGACUAGAAGGAGCCAAACAGCCUAUGCCCAAAGCAUAUCUGGCCCCCACAUCUACUUGUUCCCUUGACAGCUUUUCCUUUGGACUGGAUUUUUUUGGGAUCCUCCCUUGUGGAGAGCCCUGCUUAUCUCAGUUCUUCUGAUUAGAAGAAAACUCCCAAGCUCAUUAAAAUCUUGUUUCUCAUGUUUAUUAACAGGUGAUCUCCAAACUUAACAGGUCUCUCCAGGCUGGCUACACAAGGUUAAUCUUUGAAAUCUGGUACAUUUCUUUCUUCUGAUGGUACAAACAAGGCCUUGUGGCACACUUUGUGUCUGAUGCACAAAAUGGCCCCGAACUACACAGUUCUUUUAUCUUUAUACCUAUUUUUACCCAAUUAACAACAGACACGUAUAUUAUUUUUCUCAAUGACCCAAUGACCCAUCACCUCUGUGAUGCACUGUGGCAUUUUCUAUCCAAUCACUUACUAUUACCCA
rnacentral:lncRNA from 1 species